rnacentral:rRNA from 1 species
AUUGAACGCUGGCGGCAUGCUUUACACAUGCAAGUCGAACGGUAACAGGCCUUCGGGUGCUGACGAGUGGCGAACGGGUGAGUAAUGCAUCGGAACGUACCCAGAGGUGGGGGAUAACGCAGCGAAAGCUGUGCUAAUACCGCAUGUGAUCUGAGGAUGAAAGCGGGGGACCGAGCAGCAAUGUUUGGCCUCGCGCCUUUGGAGCGGCCGAUGUCGGAUUAGCUAGUUGGUGGGGUAAAGGCCUACCAAGGCGACGAUCCGUAGCUGGUCUGAGAGGACGACCAGCCACACUGGGACUGAGACACGGCCCAGACUCCUACGGGGGGCAGCAGUGGGGAAUUUUGGACAAUGGGCGCAAGCCCGAUCCAGCAAUGCCGCGUGCGGGAAGAAGGCCUUCGGGUUGUAAACCGCUUUUGGCAGGAACGAAACGGUGUCCGCUAAUACCGGGCGCUAAUGACGGUACCUGCAGAAUAAGCACCGGCUAACUACGUG